CAGAAAAUGAGGAAAUUUAAUUUGUGGCCGGUGUUUUUCAAGAGAGAAUGGAAACGCUGUUGGUCAUUCCUAGUCGGAUUCAGAGUCACUGCUACCAUUGUCACUAAGAUGUCCCUCAGUCUCUCACGGAGGAGGAGGCGGCGAAAUUUCCAUUUGUUCAGAGGCACAGAAAGAGUAGAAUUUGUUUAAUUAUAGUCACUAAUUUUGGUGAAUGAAGAAGUCCGUUCAUCAUGGAAAUGAAUAUCCCAUCUAUGAUUUUUUAUCCUUUUAAAUCAAUUACAAGACUCCAAUGACAGAUUUUGAGCAUUGUUUGUCGAAACUGAGUUUGUCUGUGUUCCCCGAUCGGGUCGUGCAAAUAACAAGAAUGCUCUUUUACUGCUGUUAAAUUCAUAAGUUCUGUAAAACAUGUUAAUCAGAGAUUUAAUUUUUGUAAGUGUUUGACUUCCUUCUAAAGAAAAUAUUUUAUUUCC